rnacentral:rRNA from 1 species
GUGAGGAAUAUUGGACAAUGGGCGCAAGCCUGAUCCAGCCAUGCCGCGUGCAGGAAGACGCAUCUAUGGUGUGUAAACUGCUUUUGUACGGGAAGAAACACUCCCUCGUGAGGGAGCUUGACGGUACCGUAAGAAUAAGGAUCGGCUAACUCCGUGCCAGCAGCCGCGGUAAUACGGAGGAUCCAAGCGUUAUCCGGAAUCAUUGGGUUUAAAGGGUCCGUAGGCGGUUUAAUAAGUCAGUGGUGAAAGCCCAUCACUCAACGAUGGAACGGCCAUUGAUACUGUUAGACUUGAAUUACAAGGAAGUAACUAGAAUAUGUAGUGUAGCGGUGAAAUGCUUAGAUAUUACAUGGAAUACCAAUUGCGAAGGCAGGUUACUACUUGUGGAUUGACGCUGAUGGACGAAAGCGUGGGGAGCGAACAGGAUUAGAAACCCGAGUAGUCC